GACGAACGCUGGCGGCGUGCUUAACACAUGCAAGUCGAGCGGUAAGGCCCUUCGGGUACACGAGCGGCGAACGGGUGAGUAACACGUGGGUGACCUGCCUCUAGCUCUGGGAUAAGCCUGGGAAACUGGGUCUAAUACCGGAUAUGACUCCACGGCGCAUGUUGUGGGGUGGAAAGCCUUGUGUGGCUAGAGAUGGGCCCGCGGCCUAUCAGCUUGUUGGUGGGGUGAUGGCCUACCAAGGCGACGACGGGUAGCCGGCCUGAGAGGGCGACCGGCCACACUGGGACUGAGACACGGCCCAGACUCCUACGGGAGGGCAGCAGUGGGGAAUCUUGCGCAAUGGGCGAAAGCCUGACGCAGCGACGCCGCGUGAGGGAUGACGGCCU
rnacentral:rRNA from 1 species